CUUUGGUAGCCAAUCAAUUACGAGUAAAGCUUGAAUUCUGAGACACUAUUGGUCUGGAUGGAUGACGACGACUCAAUAUUAGCCAAUCAGCUACGAUGUAGCUAUAAUAGGCGGGUCCUUCUGAUACAACCAAGUAGAGCUUCUUUCCUGUUUUCCAGAGCCACUUGGACUUUGUUAAUGAAGAUCUAGAAAGAUGGGAGACAAAUUCACAGUCACAGUAAAUCUGGAAAGAAAUUACAGUACGGGUUGCGGGGGGUAUGCUGAAGCCUAUCACAGCUGACUUCGGGCAAGAGGCUGGUACAUAUAAUGUACAGACAAACAACCAUUCACACUCACAUUCAUACCUACGGUCAAUUUAGAGUCCCCAAUUAACCUAGCAUGUUUUUGGGAGGAAACCGGAGUACCCCUGCAGAAAACCAAAAUACUAGUAAUAAUAAUAGUGUCGCCAAAAUACUCACACUAUGAUAUGAUAUUUUAAAAUAGUUAUAUAUCUAAAUAUAAGUAAAAUUUAUUUGGUUAUUUAGCAUGCCGUCCAUGGAAAAGGUUAAAGGGGAACUGCACUUUUUGUGGAAUUUUGCCCAUCAUUCACAAUCCUUAUGUGAAACAUGAACACAUAUUUCUGUCCGAGUUAAUAUGAGCAAGCCAACAAUGCACGUCAUUAGGACACACCUAAUUCGACGAUGAAGCCCUUUAACAACGUUGCAUUGUUUGAUAUACAUGCUGUGAUCAUGCAUUGAUCAUGUACAUGUACACUGAUGAUAACAUGUAAUAGUUGCAGUAUCUUACCGUACUACUUCUUUCCUCGGGUGCAUUGAUACACAUACUUAUUCUACUUCCGUCAAUAACAAUACCAGCAUAAAUACAGCGAGAACACUUACAAUGUCCGCUGUGGCUGUUGCUGUGGCUUUGUCUGUGUCUUCCAGCACAAGACGUGUGGGAAAAAAAAUGCUGACAGCAAACAAACAUCUUGUUGAGUUUUUGUAGCAAAAUGGAGAACUAGGUAUCCACUCUUCCUUCUGUGAAAGAUGCUGAGACGAGCGGUUAGUGACGCGUUGUGUUCGUUUGCCAGAUAAGAAUUAUAUAUUAUAAUAUAGAUAUAAGACAUAAUUAGAUUAGAUAAGAAUUGUUUUUCAUGUUAGCUGCUCCAAUAAUAAUAUCGCUGUAGCUUGGUUAAUAUACAAGUCAGUUAUAUAAACGGAAUACUGCUGGCGUUUUCUUUGUGAGGGCAUUAGUGUCAAAAUAGUUAUAAUAUGUAUUAUAUUAUAUUUAUAUUUAUUAUUAUUUAUAAUAAUAAAGUAAUAAAUAAGUAAAAAAAUAA